UACGUAGAAGACUAGUGUUAUUCAUCUUUAAUAGGUUUAAAAGGGUACCUAGACGGUAUUAAUUAGUCUUAAACAAGAAUCGACAAUUAUACGUAGAGUUAUAUAUAGGGAGGCGAGUAUUUAUGGAGUAGAGUUGAUGAUUCUUUGAUACCUUAACGACUGAUAACGGCGAAAGCAACCUCUUAUCCAAUAACUGACGUUGGAGGGACGAACGGCUCGGGUCACGAACAGGAUUAG
rnacentral:rRNA from 1 species